GCGUGCGUCUUCAAAAACAACAAAUUCGAAUCAAUUUUGAACCAAAAAUCAGAAAUUUGAGAUGGCUGGAGAAACUGAUACCAACAACAAUGGAGGUAACAACGCUUUUAAUGAAGAUAAGAAGCCUGCUCCUGAAAUUGAGUUUGAGGCGAAAGAAAGGCGGUGGCGAUGAGGGUGAUCCCGAGAUGCAGGAGAUUUAGGAUACCAUUGCUGGUGGUAAUUCUGAGGUCAUAUUUUUGACUUCAUAGUGUUUAUGUUUUUUCAUCUUCUUGUAUUGCAGAGUUAUUAGCUAUUGAUAGGUUGUGGUUUGCUGCUAAUUAAAAGUAAUUGUCUUUGCUCUAUUGAACUGUGCUUGAUUCUAUAUUUUCCAUGUACUUGGCUCUUAAUUUGUGCUUUAAAAUACCAAUUGCCAAAGACUUAUGAAGUCUAGUCUAGAUUGAAAUAUAGUAGUUGGAGUAAAAUGGAACUCGGUUUUACUUUGACAAUUUAGAGAUGAUAGGAAGAGUUAAAAUUUGCAUCUGCGAAUGCUAGACUUAUGAAUUCAUAGAAAAACAGCUUACUUUUUGCAGUAUGAGAAGAUAAAAGGUAUAUUCUUGGCUGCACUUCAGUAGUUCAGUGUGUUAGCUUAGUGUGGGAUCUUGGUUUUUAUAAGAUUGUUGCCCUCCAAAACUAGUUAUGUUUGGGCAAUUGUUUAUGGGGUUCAAAUCAUGAGAGUGGUUUUUAGUCCUCAUUUGAACUAUUCUUCUUGUUUGUGAGAUUCAUGUCUUUUCUACGCAAAAUUAGUAUUGGUAUUUCAAUUUACUCUCCAACAUACAUUGUUGGUCCAUUGUACUCCAUAUUCUAUUGCAAUAGUAGAAAUUUCAAUACAACACUACAAAUUUAGCUCUACUUCAUUCUCAUACUCGAAUUUCUCUCUCCUUAAUUGGUUGAAUUUAUUAAUCCUUAAUUUCUACCAGCUUAUUUUAGUAUGAUUUUUUCUUCAAUUCGGUUUGAUUUCUACUAAUUAAGUUUUUUUCUGGAUUCGAGAUUAAGGAUUUUUAAUUGUGAGGAAAAUUUGGGAUAAUUCGAGAAAUUUUGACUAAUUUUCUGUUAGCUUUGUGUGUCACGAUUGAGCAUAGAAUUGUUACUAUAAGAAUCACUAAUCUUUAUUUCUGAGGAAUCCAAUUACCUGUAUUCUACCCACUUGAAUAAUGCCCACCACCUGUUCGACAAAAUUACCACUUUUGCUACUAAGCUCUGUUUUGAUGAUCAUCGUUUUGGUUCGACCCUUGUUAAUAAUGUGUGUUGUUGUGAUGGUUUAGUUUUUGUUUGUGACGAGAAAAGCAAUAUGUUGAUGGUAAACCCGACAACGAGGGAGAUUAAGGAGUUGCCGAGUCCGCGGUAUGUUCAGAUGUUCUUUAUCCUUAUGCUAGUUUUACUAUGUAUGGAAUUGGGUAUGCAGAAUUGAUCCUCUGACCUUGUAGACCAUUGGGGGGGGAUGCAGAUUUACAUGAUCUAUCAUUCUCUACUGGAUUAGGCUUGACAAAUCCCUCCCUGUUCUUUCAUUGUUCUUCAAUUUUUGUUUUGUUUUCUGUUUUUUUUUUUUCCCGCUUAUUGCCUUUAUUAGAUCUAUGAUGUCUAACAUUUGAACUUGUAUGACUACACUAACUAUAUUAGCAAGCUUAAGAAUAGUUUAUCUCAAAAUAGCAAUGCAAAUACUUUAAAAGCAUACUUAAGGAUAUCACAUACAUAAUUGGUACUGGACAGUGGCUGCAGGGCAGCAAUUAACUAAAUCAACUUAUUCCUCAUUCUUGUUGUCCGGCGUUUAUAGUCUUUUGAUCAGUUUGCUUAACAUUUAAUUCUGUGACGAUAAUUAUACAAUCUAAUUUGCUGCAUUUCAAUUUGGAGUUGUAUGCUCAUGUUGGUAGAUGUUUUCUCUGACCAAGUGACUAGGAAAGAACCAAAGGAAUUGAUAAAACUUGUCAGAUCUCUUACAGUGGACAGCAAUGGAACUUUUGGUGAAACUACUCCAAGUAAGCGAACCCCGGCAAUUAUGGAAGCCAGGAAAUGGCAGCAAGAGAAAAGAUCAGGCUUAAAGAAAAAGUUUAAGUAGUCAGUACCAUUCCAAGUUUGGAGGAGGGGAAGUGCUGUGAUGUCUGGAGGAUUGCUUUAUUACAUGUUACUCAGACCAAAUGUUGUCUUAUAUAAUGUGUAUUACUAUAUCUGCUAUCUAUAUGAGCACACAACUUGUUUUAAGGCUUGUUAUUAUGAUUUUUUUUUUCCGGCUUGUUUUAAGGCAGGAUUUCCUUCCUUAUAUGAGUACUGUUAUGCUUCUUCUUCUUUAGUCAGCUUAGCUUAUACCUAAUGUGACCAUCUCCUCUGCAGACUGAUAAUGAUAUUGAAGAUUCCGAUGAUGAAAGUUAAAUCUAGGACUCUUUUGGAUGAAGGUCAAGUCUAAGCAAUUGUGGAUGAAAUCAAGCAGGUCCUCACUGCUAGCUCGAGUAGAAAAAGAGAGGUCAGCGAGGGCUAAAGUAGAGGACUAUGAUGCUGAAGAGAGUAAUUUACUUAAAGAGGAAAAUGAGCAGUAAGAAAAAGAGAGCGAUCAGAGAGGGCCAAAUCUUAGAAGUGAGUCCCCUUGGUUGAAAACUAUAAUCCUUGGUGUGAUCACUUAAGUGAUCACCCAUACAGCCUGAACAGAGUAGAAACACGGCCACAGAAGCAAAACAGGUGCCCAGCCAGCCUGAACAAGACAGAAGCACAACAACGCAGCAGAAUAGAAACAGCAGCACAGCAAACAGUAGAGCAGCCUGUCAGCUUGAACACACAACAACACAGCAGCCAGCAGAGCAGCCACCAGCACAAGACCAGGACAGCUCCUGCUGGAACUCAGACCAGGAACAGGACAUCAACAUAGAACAGUAGCCAAACUGAAGAAAAAUAACAAUCACUAAAAUAGUAUGUUGUUCUUGAGCCCUUGCAGCCACUUACAAUGUUGUCUUGUCCAUUUUUAAUGAAAAUAUGUAACUUUAUAUAUAUGUUAGUGUUUAUAUGUCAAUUUAAGUGAAA